AUUGAACGCUGGCGGCAUGCCUUACACAUGCAAGUCGAACGGUAACAGGUCUUCGGAUGCUGACGAGUGGCGAACGGGUGAGUAAUACACCGGAACGUAGCUAGUAGUGGGGGAUAACUACUCGAAAGAGUGGCUAAUACCGCAUGAGAUCUACGGAUGAAAGAAGGGUAUCGCAAGAGCUUGUGCUACUAGAGGGGCCGAUGGCAGAUGAGGGAGUUGGUGGGAUAAAAGCUUACCAAGCCGACGAUCUGUAGCUGGUCUGUGAGGUACGACCAGCCACCCUGGGACUGUGACACGGCCCAGACUCCCACGGGAGGCAGCAGUGGGGAAUUUGUGACAAUGGGCGCAAGCCUGAUCCAGCAAUGCCGCGUGCAGGAUGAAGGCCUUCGGGUUGUAAACUGCUUUUGUACGGAAUGAAAAGCCCUGGGUUAAUACCCUGGGGUCAUGACGGUACCGUAAGAAUAAGCACCGGCUAACUACGUGCCAGCCGCCGCCGUAACAC
rnacentral:rRNA from 1 species